ensembl:antisense Mccc1os methylcrotonoyl-Coenzyme A carboxylase 1 (alpha), opposite strand
AGUAUCGUCUUUAUAUUACCUCUGCUAGAUACAAGUAUCAUCACCUCCAAGCAGAAGAAACUGAAGCACGGAUAUUAGGUAACUCGACCAAGGUCACAGGUAAGCUGGGAACCCAACCUUCUGCAGGCAGUUCUUGCCCUUGGGCCAGUACGUUUUUCAGAAUGCGAGGAGGUGAUGAUUAUGAUGAAGUAAUCUAUCUACAUGACUUGGGGUUUUCACUGUUGUCAAAGCGUGGAGCUUCAUUUCCAAAAGGAUCCGGGGUAGUCAUCUGCCAGCUUUGUUCAAACUUGUGAACAAGAGCGUUCGACAAAACUCACCCCUCAUUAAUUUGACUCUUCCCAGCAAUGGGAAAGGUCUCUAGAAAUCCUUCUCUGAACUGCACUCAAAAUGAGGGAGCUAUGAAAGCGACUUUGGGAAAGGGGUCCUGGUGCAAGCCUCUAGCUACGUAUGCCAUCUUCGGUUGCAGCACCGUGCGGGGUGCCCAGAUCAGAAACCAGCCAAGGUGGCAGAGUCUGUAGGAAGAGCCAAAGACUGAAGUGGGACAGCGCCUACCAAAACUACACACAGGCACUUAAAGGGCUGCUCUCACGUGACCCAGCGCCUCGCAUCCGGGCCGCGCACGGACCCGCAGUACCCCUGAGUCACCUCGGCUGCAGCAGCAGGAUCGGGACCCGUCGCAACUGGUUCCUGUCCACCGCAGCCAACAACGCCGCCGCCGCCAUCUCCGCGCUGUUCUGCUGGAUUCCAAAAGCUGCUUGGCUUAUUCUUGAAAGCGUCCCUCCCUGCGCAAGCUUCUUGUCCCCGAUCCGCCACCGUAGCUCCCAAGAGCAAGUAGGCGUCUCCGCAAGAGCCAAUCACAAAACUGGGUGUUUCAAGCUAGAUUGUCCUUGCUGCGUGAGACCCACCUGCUACAGUUGAGAAAGAAUGGAGCGAGGCCAGCUCAAUAUCACAGAUGCUGGAAGGCUGCCAAGCCACUCACAGACUUGACUUCAAUUUCCAUUGGAAAGCUGUCAUAGGAGAAGCUAACAGGUGAUCUUUCUGAGAUGACUACCUUGGAUUAAAAAUCUACAAUAGAACUCCAAGCACACAGAGAAGACAGUAGCUGACCACAUCUGAGCUAGUGCCCUUUGCAGUGGGCUGAGCCCGGCUACUGCCUAAGCAGAAAUUCAACUCAACAAGGCAAACUGAGACAAGUGAGUAGACAUACAACAAACAAGAGUGUGCCUGAUAAAGUCCUGCACACAAAUACCCCAACCAAACCUCCCCGAAAACAGUGCCACUAACUGGGAAACAAAUGGUCAAGUAUGGGGGAACAUUUCUUAUUCAAAACAUUGUCAAUUGGUGAAUAUGGGUUAUUGAAAUCGCCCACUUUUACUGUGUUUGGAUCAAUCUGUGGUUUUAGAUCUACCAGUUCUUCUUUUAUGAAAUGGGGUGGCCCUGUAUUUGAUGUACACGUGUUUAUUAUUGUAGUGUACGGUUGGUAGAUUUCCUUUUUCUUUGAGGAGAAUGAAGAAUCUCUCUGCCUUUGUUUGGGUUUUACUGCUGUGAACAGAUACCAUGAUCAAGGCAACUAUUACAAGGACAACAUUUAAUUGGAGUUGGCUUGCAGGUUCAGAGGUUCAGUCCAUUAUUAUCAAGGUGGGAGCAUGGCAGUGCCCAGUCAGGAAUGGCACUGGAGGAGCUGAGAAUUCAACAUCUUGUUCUGAAGGCAAACAGCUGAAGACUGGCUUCCAGGCAGCUAGGAUGUAGGUCUUAAAGCCCAAGCCCGCAGGGACACACCUGCUCCAACAAGGCCACACCUCCUAAUAGUGUCACUCCCUGGGCCAAGCAUAUACAAACCAUCACAUGCUCCUUACCUCUUUUGGCUAGUUUUGGUUUGAAGUCUGGUUUAUCAGACAUUAGAAUAUAUUUACAAUUUAGUUUCUUUUGUUUUGAAUACUUUUUUUUUGCAUCUUUUACUCUAAAGUGAUGUCUAUUUUGAUAUGAGGCAUGUUUCUUAGAGGCAGAAAAAAAUAGAUCCCAUUUCUUAAUCCAAUCUUUUAAUCAGUCAAUUGCUGUCAUUUUGUUAAUUUUGUAAAGUUUUCUCAUAUCUUGUUGGAUUCCCUGCCAUGACACUGUUUAUUUCAUUUCUGUGACUGCUUGACUGUGUUUAUCCUUCUUUUCAGCAUUCCUUCUGGUCACCCCCUGUAGAGCUGGCUUAGUAGUAGUAAAGUCCUUUUAUCCUUUGUAUGGAAAGAUUUUAUUUUUCCUUCAAUUCUCGGGGAUAGUUUUGCUGAGUAUAGUAGUCUGGGUUGGGUAAUAUUAACUUUUUUCUAAAAAUUGGAAAUGUUCUUCAUUUUCUGCUUUAUGGAAUACUUAAGGAGUAUUAGUGUUAAUUCCUUUUUUUGAAUAUGUGGUAGAAUUUUGAGCUAAAUCCAUCUGGCCCUGAACAUUUUAUUAAUUUAGAGAUUUUUAAGUAUCAUUUGUAACCCACUGGUGCCAUGUUCCUAUCUAAAUUAUUUCUUUUUUUUUUUUAAUCUUGAUUCAGCUCUGUUACCCCAUAUACAUGUGGAAAUUGAUCCAUUUCUUUUAGAUGUUCUGGUUUGAUGGGAUAAAGAUUUUUAAAGUAUGUAAUUACAACUGUCUGUCGGUUGCAAUCUCUCCCCUUUUAUCCCUAAUUUUGUAAAGUUAGAUUAAAAUGUGUUG